rnacentral:rRNA from 1 species
UACAGAGGGUGCAGGCGUUAAUCGGAGUUACUGGGCGUAAAGGGCGCGUAGGCGGUGAAUUGGGUGUGGUGUGAAAGCCCCGGGCUUAACCUGGGAAGUGCAUCGCAAACUAAUUGACUGGAGUAGAUGAGAGGGUGGCGGAAUUUCCGGUGUAGCGGUGAAAUGCGUAGAGAUCGGAAGGAACGUCAAUGGCGAAGGCAGCCACCUGGCAUCAUACUGACGCUGAGGCGCGAGAGCGUGGGGAGCGAACAGG